rnacentral:sRNA from 1 species
UGAAAUUGCACUCAUCCUUUAAAAUCCCAACUCAAUUGCUGCCUUUCCCAUAAAGCUGAGUUCUUAGACUCAGUUGUUUCUCUUCAACAUUUUCUUGCCAGUGUGUGUGUAUGUGUGUGUAUGUACAUGCACAUGCAUGCAUGUGCGUUUCUUCUGUCAUAAGUCUUAAAGCCAGAGGUCAUGUUAUAGUCACCCUGUAUCUUCAUACCUUAUAGGGAGCCUAGAACAUUGCAGAUGCUCAGCAAAAGUUUAUGGAGUGGCCAGGCAUGGUGGCUUAUGCCUGUAAUCCCAGCACUUUGGGAGGCCGAGGCUGUCCGGAGUACACAUGGCUUAGAAGUUCCAUUAAGCCAUAAGGGAAAACUGAUGGUGACAGAGGAAUAUAUUGACUUCCUGUUAAAUGUGGCAAAUCAAAAAAUGGAGGAAAACAAGAAAAGAAUUGAGAGGUUUUGCAACUGCCUACAGCAUGCUUUGGAAAGAGAAACUAUGACUAACUUACAUCCCAAGAUCAAAGAGAAAAAUAACUCAUCAUAUAUUCAUAAGAAAAAAAGAAA